rnacentral:rRNA from 1 species
GGCGGCCGCGGGAAUUCGAUUAGAGUUUGAUCAUGGCUCAGGACGAACGCUGGCGGCGUGCUUAACACAUGCAAGUCGAGCGGGGUCCAACUUGUCGCAAGACAAGGGAAGACCUAGCGGCGAACGGGUGAGUAACACGUGAGCAACCUGCCCCGAAGACUGGGAUAACACCGGGAAACCGGUGCUAAUACCGGAUACCCCCUCUGAGUCGCAUGGCUCGGAGAGGAAAUGGAUUCCGCUUCGGGAGGGGCUCGCGGCCUAUCAGCUUGUUGGUGGGGUAACGGCCUACCAAGGCUCCGACGGGUAGCUGGUCUGAGAGGACGACCAGCCACACUGGGACUGAGACACGGCCCAGACUCCUACGGGAGGCAGCAGUGGGGAAUAUUGGACAAUGGGCGCAAGCCUGAUCCAGCCAUGCCGCGUGAGUGACGAAGGCCUUAGGGUUGUAAAACUCUUUCGACGGGGACGAUAAUGACGGUACCCGUAGAAGAAGCACCGGCCAACUACGUGCCAGCAGCCGCGGUAAUACGAAUCACUAGUGAAUUCGCGGCCGCCUGCAGGUCGACCAUAUGGGAGAGCUCCC